AGAAUUUUAGAAUAGACUCUAGCAGCUUAAUAGUAUCAAUUAGACCACGAGAUGUUUUCGAAAACGCAAAUAAAUAUUAUAUUUCGUGAUUGAGAUCAGUCUAAAGCAGAGAGCCUAUGAACAAAACGUGACGGGAAACUAAUAAACCUUCAUUUACGAGAGAAUAUGCUCUUAUUUUCUUUACUACUUCAGAUAAUUUGAAUGUGACAGUUAAUUACUACAACACUGAUAAGAAUAGCCAUUAUCGUGAAAAAGCCAGUAUAGGUUUUGCUUGGAAAACAAAUCGUGCGUUGCAACGCAACGUGGCGAACAUGUAAGGUGUUGACGUGCGAUAUGCAUAUUUAUCACCCUUGUAGUUUAAGAGCUGUAAUCUUCGAGCGCUCAGUAAAUGCACCAUCCGUCACGCAAGGCAAAAUAUUGCAUGCGUCACUCGUUUGUUGUAUGUUUGACUAACAAAGAAGUUACUUCGAGUCCACAGUUGUGAAAAAUAGCGAAAUGAUAUUUCCAGAAGUUUCGACUUGGCAGAACUUUGAAAUGGCUCAGUAUUCAUAAUUCCUGAAAAGAGUUUUUCAACACUGAUACAGUAUUGGCAGUUGUUUUUGAUAUUGCGUAUUCAUUUUCGUUCUUACUUUUCUAGAUGUAAACAAUUCAACGACUGUAAAAGAUCAACUGUAACCUCUUUGAAGGCAUGUGUACAAGCAAGAGCGAACAGCCGAUUUAGAUUUCUUUACUUCUCACUUGGAACAAUCUGUUGUACUAACUGUCCUAUUGCUAUUAAACAAACUGAUUUCAAAGAUUACGCCUUAAAUUGCUCUUCGCCGAUAUUCUAUGGUCGUUUGAAGUCAAAAAAUGCUUAAGGCAUAACCAAAUUGUAAAAGCAUCAAUUCCCGCUACAAAUUUACUCAACAGGGUCACGUGAUUCUUAUUUUCCCAACAAAUGCCAAAAUUACACUUCGCGUUGUUCAUUGAGGUUAAUUAAGUCGGAAAUUCGACAAAACGCCGUCUGCUGCGGUUCUUUAAAUAUCAUGUGCCUAUUAGAGUGAACGGGAAGUACCGAAAGGUGAAAUAUUUGACUCAAAGAUGAUGGUGUGCAGAAAAAUCGACCAAAAUUGCCUUGUGGUAUUGUAGUAUUGCUAAAUAUGUCGUAUAGAAGGGAAUAAUAUCACUCGAUCAUGCGUACACAUCGCGUUACUGCGUGGUUUCAGUAAAAGACCAAUAUUUUGGUGGCCAACACGAAGGGAAACAAAACGACAGGAAAAGGAACACAUUCUGGUGAUAUUUCAAACCUCUCUUUGAUCUGAACACUGGCUUUGUUCGUUGAGUUAAUCCUUCAAGACGAGUUUGUUUCCAAAAGCCUUUAGCUUGUUUGUCCAAAAUCUCGAUACGUGUCUCAACAAGGAUUAGGAAAGAAACAGAUAUAAUAUCAGAUUAGCGAAGCGAAGAGUCGUUUAAUAAAUUAAAUUUCCUCCUCGCCAAAAUUUCUUUUCAAACCAGUUUUGAUGGGUAAUUUGAAAACAAACGUUUAUAAAUUGCCUCAGCAAAUACAAUUACUCCCUCACAGAAGAAAAUAAUGGUUUAUUUUCCUGCAUAAGCGCGUUAAAAAAUGCGUUUAGAAGUCGAAUGUCUCGUGAUAUUUUAGGAGCAUUUUCUCGUGGUUUCGAUAUGCCAGUGUUUUUGUCAUGCUGCUUACAAAACUAACAGUCUUCUAUUUGGCUUAUAAUUUAUUAAGAAUGUAAGUACAGAAACGUUGAUACUUCCCCGUAGUUGAAAAUAACACACACAGAAACACAAAGUUCGUGUUCAGAUGGACGAAAAUAUACAAAAUGGCACAAUUUGCUUUGAGAGUGCGAGCUAUAUAAAUGAAGAAUAUCUUUGUCUUUUCGCUAAUUUUUCUGAUACCUGUCUUAUUCUUAUAGCAAAUCAGCUAGAAGUUUAAGUUCACUUCCUGCACAGUGCUUAAGUUGUUAAAAACUUGCUUCGUUUUGAUACUACUGAUAGUUUAUCGGGAAUUCAGACUCAAUCUUGGUGGGCGUCAAAAAAGAACAGAACAGCAAAAAAAAUAAUUUGCCUUCCUCUUUUUUGACAGUAAGAAUGCAACGUCUGUGAUGCGAAAGAGCCUUUGGAUGUUUGUACGACUUGAAAGAAGAAAGUUGGAAAAUUCUGGAAAAAUAAGGGCAAGAAAAAAAUAUAACAACAGCCUUACCUUGAGAUACAGUACUUCUUAUGUUUGAUGAUACGGUUGCAAACAGUAAAACUAACUGCCAACUCCAAUGAAAGAGAGGCAUCUUCGAUUCCGUCAACUUUGCUUCUUGUUCGCACGAGGGAUAAUGUGAGCUUCUGUAGUGCUAAGCGUUCUUCUAAUUUUGCCGAUGUUGGUUACAUUUCUUGCCUCUUAGCUUAGCGGCGCGGUUGCGAAGCUGUUACGAAACUGCACUCCACGCCCUAAAGUGCUAUGACGUCACGAUAUUUCAUAUCAGAGCAACGAAAUGAAGACUAGUCUCUCAUUCAUGGCGCUAGUUGCUGUUUGCAAUACUUGGUUGCAAUAUUUGGUGGAUCAAGCAGUGUUGUUACUUUUCAUCUGAGCUUCGUCACGCAGGUUCAAGUUGAAGAGACCCGUGGGAAAGUUUUCGCCGGCCAUCUUCAAAUGAGAAACGUGCAGUCUGCUUGAGGGCAAAUUUCACGGACAAUUGGGCUUGAGUACUUUCAGAAGCCUAAUAACGCGGAAACAUUUGAAAGAAGGUUGUAGACAAAGCCAACAUAUUUCGACAAUAAAUUGAAGGCAAACAAU